AUUCCAGCUCCAAUAGCGUAUAUUAAUGUUGUUGCAGUUAAAAAGCUCGUAGUUGAAUUUCUGGAUUUAAUUUCUGGUCCGAGGCCUUGUGUCUUGUGUACUUUGAUUUUAUUAAAUCCAUCUUAGUAGUGAAUGUUACUGGCAUUGAGUUAUCGGUAGCAGGAACUGCUUCUUUUACUGUGAAUAAAAUAGAGUGUUCAAAGCAGGCAUUACGCCUUGAAUACUUCAGCAUGGAAUAAAAAGAUAGGACUUUGGUGCUAUUUUAUUGGUUUGCACACCAAGUAAUGAUUAAUAGGGACAGUCGGGGGCAUUUGUAUUCAAACGACAGAGGUGAAAUUCUUGGACCGUUUGAAGACAAGCUACUGCGAAAGCAUUUGCCAAGAAUGUUUUCAUCG
rnacentral:rRNA from 1 species